rnacentral:rRNA from 1 species
GGGUUUGAUCCUGGCUCAGGAUGAACGCUAGCGGCGUGCUUGACACAUGCAAGUCGAACGAACCGACGCCUGGUGAAAGAUCGGUGAGGGCGAGGACAGGGAGAAAUCUCAAGAAUUGCUGGAUCUGAUUGGAAACCAUCAGUUGGUUAGUGGCAAACGGGUGAGUAACACGUGGGUGACCUACCCCGUAGUGGGGAACAACUGUUGGAACGGCAGCUAAUUCCGCAUACGGUCCGACAUUCAUUUGUCGGAGUAAAGGGCUUCGGCCCGCUUCGGGAGGGGCUCGCGGCUGAUUAGCUAGUUGGUGGGGUAAUGGCUCACCAAGGCGAUGAUCAGUAGCUGGUCUGAGAGGACGAUCAGCCACACUGGCACUUAGAUACGGGCCAGACUCCUACGGGAGGCAGCAGUGAGGAAUAUUGCGCAAUGGGCGAAAGCCUGACGCAGCAACGCCGCGUGAGCGAUGAAGGCCUUCGGGUUGUAAAGCUCUUUUCUGGGGGAUGAGGAAGGACAGUACCUCAGGAAUAAGCCUCGGCUAACUACGUGCCAGCAGCCGCGGUAAAACGUAGGAGGCGAGCGUUAUCCGGAUUCACUGGGCGUAAAGCGCGUGCAGGCGGUGUCUUAAGUCGGAUAUGAAAUCUCCCGGCUCAACUGGGAGGGUGUGUUCGAUACUGGGGCACUUGAGGGCAGGAGAGGGAAGCAGAAUUCCCGGUGUAGCGGUGGAAUGCGCAGAUAUCGGGAGGAAUACCAGUGGCGAAGGCGGCUUCCUGGCCUGUUCCUGACGCUGAGACGCGAAAGCUAGGGUAGCAAACGGGAUUAGAUACCCCGGUAGUCCUAGCCGUAAACGUUGGAUACUAGGUGUUGGGGGUAUUGACCCCCUCAGUGCCGCAGCUAACGCGAUAAGUAUCCCGCCUGGGGACUACGGCCGCAAGGUUAAAACUCAAAGGAAUUGACGGGGGCCCGCACAAGCAGCGGAGCGUGUGGUUUAAUUCGAUCCAACACGAAGAACCUUACCUGGGUUUGACAUGCUGGUGGUAGUGACGCGAAAGCCGAACGACCCCUCGGGGAGCCAGCACAGGUGCUGCAUGGCUGUCGUCAGCUCGUGCCGUGAGGUGUCGCGUUAAGUCGCGUAACGAGCGCAACCCUUAUUGCCAGUUAAAUAUCUCUGGCGAGACUGCCGGUUAAAUACCGGAGGAAGGUGGGGAUGACGUCAAGUCAGCAUGGCCUUUAUGUCCAGGGCUACACACACGCUACAAUGGCCGGUACAAUGGGUUGCCAAGCCGCGAGGCGGAGCUAAUCCUAAAAAACCGGUCCCAGUUCGGAUUGGAGGCUGCAACCCGCCUCCAUGAAGCCGGAGUUGCUAGUAACCGCAGGUCAGCUAUACUGCGGUGAAUACGUUCCCGGGCCUUGUACACACCGCCCGUCACGUCAUGGAAGCUGGCAAUACCUGAAGCCGGUGGGCUAACCGCAAGGAGGCAGCCGUCGAAGGAAGGGUCGGUAACUGGGACGAAGUC